rnacentral:lncRNA from 1 species
UUUUUUUUUUUUUUUUUUUUUUUUUUGCUUUUGCUGAUUUCCCUUUUGCUAGUCUAACUGCUUUCUUACUGAAAUUAGUUCCACUGUUUAUUUAUAUACUAGGUGAAAAAUAUAUCUCCUUUUGGUUUGAACUUAUCAGCAGAAGGAGUUUUCUGGGGAGUGAAAACAGAAAUGAAAAACAGGACAGCAGAAUACUUUUUCUUACCCUGUCAUGACAUGGACCUCUCCCACAUUUCCCUCAGCAAUCAUUUUUGCAGACUAAAAAAUCAGUCUAUUUAGGCUCCCUGUGCAGAACCUGUUUCCUGCUUUUAAUCGUCCUUAUAAUUCCUGUUUAUACCUUUUCUGAUAAGAUAGUAGGUUUGAACUUUUGUACAUAUUGCUGAUUAGUCAGUAAACUUAAGCAGGGUUUAAUGACAGUUCUCAUUUUUCCUCUAAUAAUUUUAAGUAUUCUGAUGACUUUUGACUCUCAUGGUUUUGUGAACAAAUUACUCCAACAGUCCAGCUACUUCACGAUUGUUCUCCUGAGUUCUAAUAGGUAGCUUGGAACCCACUGCUUUGUGUGCAAAAUUCAGAUGGCCUUGGACACAGCUUUACUGUACCUGUGCCAAAAUGGAAUUUCUCAGUAUCACAGUCUCCCUGCGCUCUUCACAUAGCAAAAGCAAGUGAAAUUGCAGCUAAAUUCAAUAUCUAUUCAAUCCAUCAUGCAACUAAAUACACAAAUAGUCUGGAAAAAGACUUAACAAAUGCAGUAAACAGACCUCUUCCCUGCACUUGCUUUGAUUACUAGCCAUGUAUACAGGGGCUUGUCUCAGAAGCAUAGAAAUAACAAAGUAAUUGGUAGAGUAUAAUUUAGAAGAUCAGAUUAUAGAGUAAAUAAUAAAAUGCCUUUGCCAAAAAAGCAUUUGAAAAUGGAAGGAAGGCAUGAAGGAAGGAAUGAAGGAGAUAGAAUCCGUUGUAUGAGUUGCAAAUUCAGCUAGUGUUACAGCUGAUCUGAUGUGAUGUAGCUGGUGAAGACACGCCAGCUUGUAUCAUCUGAGAAUCUGCAGUGUGACACAAAGACAGCUGGCUUAAAGAGGGCAGAAGAUAAAUAACUGAGAUAAGUCAGAUAUUUAAUAAUAGACCUGUUUGUUGAUGAUGAUUUUUUUUUAUGAAUCGCCCAAAUUGAGGGAAAUGUGUGGGGUGUGUGUCUUGUUCUUCAAGUACUUUAAUUCCAUGUGGUAAUACUUUUAUGUGUGACCUUUGAUGUUCUGUCUGCUGGCUCCAGUUGGUUUUAUAGCCUACAGAAUAAACACUUUAUAAAAAUUUUUUUUUUCUGUGAAAUUGUAAGAACAUUGUUUGUAUGAUCUGGAUGACUGCAGCUCAUGGCCAUACCUUGACUUACACAGCUUCAGUAUAGGGUGCCAUUACAGAAAGAAGAUGUUAUGGUUGCAGCUAAAGUAAAUAAUCAAUUUAGUCAGUAAUAUAGCUGAAGCAUCACACAACAUUUUGCUGUCUGUCCUGCAAGCCAAUGUGAACAUUUAAUUUUAGAAUUUCUACCACAGGAGCCACAUGUUCAGUGUUUUUCACAUACAAAUAAUCAUGUUCCUCUCUGAAUAAGGAAAAUUAUAGAUAGAAGGGUGAACUGGGAGUCAGAUGGGUUAAGGGCAUGACAGAAGUGAGCACUUUCAGAUUUUCAAGAGUAAAUUACACAGCUGUAGUUUAAUGACUAUUACAGUGCUCAUUGAAUUAAUAAUGUAUAGUUGUAAAAAAAUUGUGGAGUUGAAAAUGCUUUUUAUUCUUAGGGACAAGAAUCUUCUAACUAAGUAGAGCUUGUCUUAUGUUAUCUGCUAAUUGACUAUUCACCUCAGUUAGCAUAAACAUGUUUUCAAAUCACUGGUGUUUUCCCUGUGUUUUUAUGUUUUGUAAUAGAAAUGUGCCAGUCAGGUGAGAUGUGAGACAGCAUGACACAAUGCAGUCUGAUGUAACAUAAGUGAAAGCCAAUAUUUUAGCUUUUAUCCUGCUCUUGUCAAGGGCCAUGUGCAGUCUCCCAGAGGCAUGUGCACUUCUGUUGAGACAUUCCAAGAGCCUCUCAUUGUGAUUUUUUUCUCCUGGAAGCAACACAUAUAUUAUUAGAGUCUGUAAUUACAAAGUAGAUUCUUCUGUCACUGGGGUCUUGGCAUUGACUUCAGUGGGUGUAUAAUAACACACCUGGACACUUCCGCAGUCAGAUAAACUGCUUCUGUUCAGAAAGGCUAGGAUCACAGGACCAAUGCCUUCCACCUCUCAUCACCCCCAUACCUCAACUAUUUUAUUUAAAGUCAGGUCACUUGAUUAUCACAAACAUCAAAGCCAACAAUUUUAGGCCUAGAGAAAGAGCACAAAAUGUUGUAUUUUUAAUUUUUUUUAGAAAAUUGUUUGCAUUAGAAUAUGCAUGGAACCAUAAGGGCAUCUCAUGUGAGUGGUAAAUUAAAAAUAUUCUAGAGAAUCUCCAUAUCAUUUUGUGGAAGCAGUGCCUAUGGACAUUAGAAUAGCUCACAGCUCUGAGAGCAAUUCUGCAGCAGAUACUCAGCCCUGACAUGGCAGAUCAGCCCACAUUUCACCCACCCUGGCACAACCAGCUUUAGCAGUGCCAACAUGAAUAUCAUCUACUUGCUGUGCUGCUUCUGGCUCUGCAUUUCCUGUCAGUCACACGGGUUCCUGAGGAUGAGUCAGUGAUGCAGACAGCUUUUUCCUUUUGUACAUUAUUUCACAUAAAGUGAACAUAAUAACGUUUUGCUUGUAAUAUUCUUGCAAAGAGUAGAUUUCUUCUGCAUAUUUCAAUUAUGCCUUAAUCAAAGAUUUAAAAUCCCUUUGAGAAAUUGAGUUCAGGACUAGUCCCUGAAAUAGUGCUUGAGUGUUGUGAAGUAGACACAGUAUGUGGGGGCACAGGCUGCAUGAAAAGCCUGAAAUAAGUUCAGUUUCUUCAAUUUCAUAUCAUUUAUCUCUCAUCAAUAAUUGAAUAUUUGGGUGAUUUUUUUUCAAUUUGGUAUUUAGAAACAUCAUCCACCAUAAUUCCAUGAAAAAUUUUUGCGUGCUAUAGUUGGAGUGUUGCACUGUUAGAUGAAGUAAUUUAAUUCAUAAACAACCUCUUGCAUAGUUUCAGUUUGUACUAUCAUCUAAGUCUCUUAAUUUAUUUGAAUUCUACUUUUAUUUCUGUAGCGUAUCUGAAUCAUUUGCAUGGGCUGAUGGUGUUUAAUGAGUAAAUAGACACAUUAUAUAUACACUAUUUUUAAUAUAUUAUUCUAAUCAGCUGUACCUUAAAGCCAAUGCUGAUUGCAUUUUUCGUACCCUUCACAACAUUAAUUGCUAUUAUUUACAAAUAUAAAUACUUGAUUGAGAUAUACACAGUGGAAAACCUAACACUGAAACAUUCUAUUUCAUGUGGGAGAAGUAAAACUAGAUCUUGUGAUGAAACAGAAAAAUAUCUUAUUCCUUACUCAUUUUACUCCAGUAUGAGCUGGGGGCACCAAAUCAGGCUAGCAGCACUUUGGCACCAUUUUGAAUUCAUGUAGAUAAGGCCAAAGGAUUGGAGCAAUGCUGAAUCAGACCCACAGUUACUCAUUCAGUUGUGAGUGUUACUGAUGCUGCAAGAUGGUGGUUAACUACUCCAGUCUGAAAUAGCUGUGCAUAAAUCUUAGCUACUGACAUUGUGACUCAGGCACAGCAGCUGCAUCACCCUUCCUGCCACCCCAUUGCCCCACUUAAAUAACAAAUUACUUUAAUACUGUGUAAUAACCAUAUAUGUAUGACACAAAACAUAAGGUACUAAAUUUCCUGUGAUUAAGAUUAUUAGAAAACAUCCUUUCAGUUCCAUUCAUGAAUGCCUCACACAGCUGUACUUUGAUUUUAUAAUUUCAUGGGACUCUGUGUAUGCUGCAUCAUUCCAACUUUGGUGAUAAUGAAAGUCAUAGUUUAUAUAUGUUUUGUGUGUGUAAAUUUCUGUUUUAUGCCUGCAUGUGUUGCCCUUUUACCUGUAUUUUGAUUAUAUUUAACUUUGCUAAUGCUGCAAUACUGCCUUCUGCCACAAUUUUAAUUUUUCAUUAUGUAUUGCAUAGAGCAAAUAUUCUGCUAUAUAUAAAAUUCACAUCUAAAUCAGAAGCAAAUUUAUGUGCAUAGAAAUAAUGCACCUGUCCAGAAGAAUGUUUCCUGAUUUCUUGAAAUAGAUCCAUAAAAUAUAAUUUUUAAUAUCAUGGAUAAAAUUCUUUCUGCAAAAUGUGCUUUUAUUAACAAAAUGAUGGUUUUAACAUUAAACCCUAAUGUAAUGUCAUCUGAUCUUUUCAAAUUAAAUUCUAAAAAAUAAGUCUUCCAUCUUUGAAAACAAAACUUCUCUGAUGACUAUUGAAAAAUUUAUUGUCACUCAUUAGUUUUCCUCACUCUGAUUUAGCCAUUAAUUUGGAAAAUAUUAUUUGUCUUUCUCAGUUGAUAUCAGCUGACUCCACCCUGUUUUAAAUGCAGAGAAAGGAUGAAUUAAGUAACAGAGAUGAACAAAUAUGAAACCUCUCUGGACUGGUUACGUGUGGACAGAGGAAAAAAUGCUGGAAAGCCUUCUGGAUAACAGAAGUAAUGCACAAAGUAAUAACUUUCGGGGAAGAGAAAGUAGCUAAUGUAAAUGAUGUUCAUGGAGCAGUUGCAAUGAGACAAAUGGAUUUUUCCUGGUCUUCAGAACUGGGCCUUUUGAUAAUAAGUUUUUUAGUAGUAGUUUAAAACCAAACUGCUUGAACUAUGGUACACUUUUUAGCCUCAUGGUGAAGGCAUCCUGUGACAAAGAUUAUAAAAAGAAAAGCUGUUGUAGGAUCCUGACAUGUGAGCAAGGUUGUCAGUGAAGUGAUCUGGGAAACUGGCAUCAAUAAAAGGCAUCAAUAAAAAUGAAAGUCAAGGUGACAAUGCUGAAGUGAUCAGAUUUGGUACAGACAAUUAUCCUGUAUGUUCCAGGAGUCUGGCAGAAGAGAGGUAAAGAAAUCCUCAGAGUAGUUUGCCUACAGUUGCGUUGCACCUGUUCCAGUGAAGCUCAGAAAAGAAUUUCUUUCAUUGUUUGAGUAUUUCACAAACAAUGAAAUAAGCACUUCUCUUUUAUCUACCUGAGCUGUACAAUGGACUCUAGUUCUACCAGCUGUUGCUAAGCAACUGUAACAGUGAUGUUUACCUAAAGCCUCAAUUUAUUUUACUUUAUCUUAGAAAAGUAGAAAAAUAAAAUCCAACCUGUUGUCAGUGAUAUCCUUUUGCAGAAUAAGUUUGCAUCUAUGAAGAAUAGUCUUUUUUCAAGGGUACUAAGUCUACCUUUAGUGCAGAAUUUUAAAAUCUAGGGCCUUACUCUCUGCAAAAUUUUUUCAACACUACCUUUUACAUAUUUCAAAUCUGGUAUAGGACUUGCAUUGCUUUCCUCUCUUUUUGAUGCAUUUUCUUUCCUUCAUUUUGAUGAGUCUGCAAAUACAAAGGAAGAAGAGUAUGCAAAGAUCUUUGCUUUACUGGGAUAUAAUCUAUAUUUUCAAAGGAAAAGGGAUAAACCAUUUUCAUAUAAUCUAGUUGCUUUUAAUUAAGAACUUAUUGUUGUGUCAGAAGGAAGCACAGUCAAGCUGUAGCCUUGAAAGUGUUAUUAUGGCCUUAUUAUUUUUUUGUCUCUACUAACCACUGUCACUAAAUUGAUAGUGUUAUACAUUGUAUUUUUUUUAAGUAUUAAAAGCCUUUUUUUAAAAAAAAAAAAAAAAAAA